rnacentral:rRNA from 1 species
GACGGAGGGGGCAAGCGUUGUCCGGACUCACUGGGCGUAAAGGGUGCGUAGGCGGCGCGGUAAGUCGGGUGUGAAAUCUCGGAGCUUAACUCCGAAACUGCAUUCGAUACUGCCGUGCUUGAGGACUGGAGAGGAGACUGGAAUUUACGGUGUAGCGGUGAAAUGCGUAGAUAUCGUAAGGAAGACCAGUGGCGAAGGCGGGUCUCUGGACAGUUCCUGACGCUGAGGCACGAAGGUCAGGGGAGCAAACGGG